AGUGAACGCUGGCGGUAGGCCUAACACAUGCAAGUCGAACGGCAGCACAGUAAGAGCUUGCUCUUACGGGUGGCGAGUGGCGGACGGGUGAGGAAUACAUCGGAAUCUACUUUUUCGGGGGGGAUAACGUAGGGAAACUUACGCUAAUACCGCAUACGACCUACGGGUGAAAGCAGUGGAUCUUCGGACCUUGCGCGGUUGAAUGAGCCGAUGCGGGAUUGGAUAGUUGGCGGGGUAAAGGCCCACCAAGGCGACGAUCCGUAGCUGGUGUGGGCGGCUGAUCGGCCACAUUGGAACGGGAACACGGUCCAGACUCCUACGGGAGGCAGCAGUGGGGAAUAUUGGACAAUGGGCGCAAGCCUGAUCCAGCCAUACCGCGUGGGUGAAGAAGGCCUUCGGGUUGUAAAGCCCUUUUGUUGGGAAAGAAAAGCAGCAGGUUAAUACCCCGCUGUUCUGACGGUACCCAAAGAAUAAGCACCGGCUAACUUCGUG
rnacentral:rRNA from 1 species